rfam:Oryza nivara chromosome 11, whole genome shotgun sequence.
UUUAAGUGCAACUAUAAAUUUAUGUGCCCAACUUUAACCAUCUGUCUUAUUUAAAUUUUUUUAUAAUUAGUAUUUUUUAUUGUUACGAGAUGAUAAAAUAUAAAUCGCACUUUAUAUGUGAUUUAUUUUUUUAAUUUUUUAAAAAAUAUUUAAAUAAGAUGGACGAUUAAAAUUGUGCCAGAAAAAUUAUGACUGAACUUGAA